UGAACUCUGGAAAUUCGAGUUACUUAAAUGUAAAGAAAUGAUGAAAAAGAUACAGCACCCUCCUAUUCAAGACUUCUGAACAAUGUUCGUUCCAGAGUGAGUGAUGUUAAGAAGUUGGAAUACCAAAACUACUUUUCAAAAUCAGCGCAAAACAUCUCUUUGGUCAUCUUGCUGAUCGCAGUUCUCUUCUUUGGGGGACUUAUUAUAAUGUACCUGAACAUGCAUUUCAAGGAGACUCCCAUAGCUAAUUCUGAUCUUACGGUGACUGUUUGCUCUCUUGGUGGAAAGGCAGGCGUAACUUGUAUAUUGGAAACAGAAGUAGCAAGCUCUAAAGUAUUAUUAGGGAUAUUGUACCAGAAACUCUUGGAGCGUGCUGUGUUGCAGUCCAGUGUGGUCAUGGUCCGGCCAGUCCAGUUUUCACCUUCAACGAAGCCUUCCACGUCUCUUGAAAACCUCUGCAGAUUCACACGAGUGGAAUGUCCAAGAAAGUUUGGGCAAUGUCAAAGUUCUGAUCAGGGACAAUCCUCAACUCGGUAUCGAACUAUCAAACUCAGGCAUGGAAAUUAA
rnacentral:lncRNA from 1 species